rnacentral:rRNA from 1 species
UACAGAGGUCUCAAGCGUUGUUCGGAUUCAUUGGGCGUAAAGGGCGCGUAGGCGGCGGGGUAAGUCGGGUGUGAAAUCUCAGAGCUCAACUCUGAAACUGCACUCGAUACUGCUCUGCUUGAGGACUGGAGAGGAGACUGGAAUUCACGGUGUAGCAGUGAAAUGCGUAGAUAUCGUGAGGAAGACCAGUGGCGAAGGCGGGUCUCUGGACAGUUCCUGACGCUGAGGCGGCGAAAGCGAUGGGGA